ensembl:lncRNA
CUGCGUUGUGCUCCUCAUUGAUGCUGUCAGUGGGGACCAGGGCGUCCCCUCAGUGCCAGCCUCCUUCAAGGAUCUGGUUGUACCUGGCCAGAACUGUUGGUUCUCAGAACUCAUCUGCUCAAUCCAAGCCAUCAGCAAGACCGAGGGAACGGUUCUGCCAAAGCAAGAAGGCCUCACAGAACAGUUUGGAAGCAGCUGUUUUUGCUGACUGUGUGAUACACAACCUUCUCAGAAGGAGCCACUUCUGAAGCAGCAUGGUGAGGUGUCCCUUUGCACAGCUCCAUACGUGGCUAGUUGGGCUGAGGAUGGAGCAGUGCUGAGGCUGAUUGCCCUACUGCAGGAAUGGCUCUGGAGGAGCCUUCCCUGUGCCUGCAGCUGAGGAUGUGACCAAGCUAGCAAAGCAGCUCUGCCACUGGGUUCCUGCUCUACCCUGGUGCUACAUGUGGCCUCCACCAGCAUGGAUAGGUGCUCAUGCUUAGCUGGCCAAUGGAGCAGGGCUUUAAACUCCACCAACGUGAUGCCGACCAGCUUGUGAUCCUCAUCCAUCCAUGAAGACCUGAGUUCUGGCUGUCUAAGGAAAACCCCACUGAGGAGAGUUGGCAGCUCUUGGCACCCCAGCAUUCUGUUCAGUCGUUUCAUCAGACCCACUGUGCAGCACUGGUAAACCCAUUCUGAGUUUUGCAGUGUAUGGCACUCACUCCCCACCCACGCCCAAUGGCAGUGGGCUUUUGAAAUGUUGCAUAAAGUUUGAAAAAAAAAAAAAAAGUUGUGAUAUUGUGAUGAACCUCUCUUUCUUUGUGAUGAACCUUUCUCUCAUUUUCUCCGUGCUUCAGAGUGCUUUCUUCGCCGGACUGGGCAAAGCCAUGCGCUCUCUGCAGAGGAAGCAGGAGUAGAGAGCAAGCCUCAGUGGCUGUCCUUGAUUCAGGGCCUGACUUCCUUUCUGUCCCUGAGUUUUCAAACAUGAGAGACCACAGUAGUCUCCAUUCAGUGAAACAUCUGGCAGUGGUGGGCUCUUAAAUAUAUAUAUGUUUAUAUUUAAGCCUUAUUGGCACAGCAGCUCUCAAGGCCCGGAAGAGAACUCCCACAGGCUGUGACGCUUCCAGAUACAGAUGGCAGCUUAUGGUGUUUUGGCACCAUGUUCAUCUUCAGAGGCUACUGACUAAGGAGAGUGGUAAGACUACUGUGGAGCCAUUGCUGUGAAGGGUCACGUUCAGCCCCUAGUUUUCUCCAUUUUAAGAAAGCGUGCAGGUGGAAGUAAAGAUCUGCCAGUUCAAAGGUUGCCUUUGAUUUUGUAUGUUUGUGCCUAUAGGUGAAGUAAGCCAAUCCACACCUAGGAAAAUGAUGCCUUUUGAAAUGAAGCUUUCCAA